CGGGGCUCAUUAGGCGGAGCGGGGUGCCGAGAGGUGCGCGCCGCCGGCCCCUGAGGCCGCCUUUGAGCCGUCGGGGCGGCUUCAUUAAGCGGCGCUAACAAGGCGUACAAAUGCCGGGCCCAGCAGCUUUUUUGCAAUGCCGGGGCCUUAGCAGGGCGCCGGACUAAUGAGGGUCACUCAAAGGGGCUGAUCAAAUAUUCAAAUUUCCCCGCACGCCGGGAACUUUUAUGAACGGAGAAAGUUGAGGCAACUGAGCUGUGUUUACUGUCCGG
rnacentral:lncRNA from 1 species